GGUUAAGCGACUAAGCGUACACGGUGGAUGCCCUGGCAGUCAGAGGCGAUGAAGGACGUGCUAAUCUGCGAUAAGCGUCGGUAAGGUGAUAUGAACCGUUAUAACCGGCGAUUUCCGAAUGGGGAAACCCAGUGUGUUUCGACACACUAUCAUUAACUGAAUCCAUAGGUUAAUGAGGCGAACCGGGGGAACUGAAACAUCUAAGUACCCCGAGGAAAAGAAAUCAACCGAGAUUCCCCCAGUAGCGGCGAGCGAACGGGGAGCAGCCCAGAGCCUGAAUCAGUGUGUGUGUUAGUGGAAGCGUCUGGAAAGGCGCGCGAUACAGGGUGACAGCCCCGUACACAAAAAUGCACAUGCUGUGAGCUCGAUGAGUAGGGCGGGACACGUGGUAUCCUGUCUGAAUAUGGGGGGACCAUCCUCCAAGGCUAAAUACUCCUGACUGACCGAUAGUGAACCAGUACCGUGAGGGAAAGGCGAAAAGAACCCCGGCGAGGGGAGUGAAAAAGAACCUGAAACCGUGUACGUACAAGCAGUGGGAGCACGCUUAGGCGUGUGACUGCGUACCUUUUGUAUAAUGGGUCAGCGACUUAUAUUCUGUAGCAAGGUUAACCGAAUAGGGGAGCCGAAGGGAAACCGAGUCUUAACUGGGCGUUAAGUUGCAGGGUAUAGACCCGAAACCCGGUGAUCUAGCCAUGGGCAGGUUGAAGGUUGGGUAACACUAACUGGAGGACCGAACCGACUAAUGUUGAAAAAUUAGCGGAUGACUUGUGGCUGGGGGUGAAAGGCCAAUCAAACCGGGAGAUAGCUGGUUCUCCCCGAAAGCUAUUUAGGUAGCGCCUCGUGAAUUCAUCUCCGGGGGUAGAGCACUGUUUCGGCAAGGGGGUCAUCCCGACUUACCAACCCGAUGCAAACUGCGAAUACCGGAGAAUGUUAUCACGGGAGACACACGGCGGGUGCUAACGUCCGUCGUGAAGAGGGAAACAACCCAGACCGCCAGCUAAGGUCCCAAAGUCAUGGUUAAGUGGGAAACGAUGUGGGAAGGCCCAGACAGCCAGGAUGUUGGCUUAGAAGCAGCCAUCAUUUAAAGAAAGCGUAAUAGCUCACUGGUCGAGUCGGCCUGCGCGGAAGAUGUAACGGGGCUAAACCAUGCACCGAAGCUGCGGCAGCGACACUAUGUGUUGUUGGGUAGGGGAGCGUUCUGUAAGCCUGCGAAGGUGUGCUGUGAGGCAUGCUGGAGGUAUCAGAAGUGCGAAUGCUGACAUAAGUAACGAUAAAGCGGGUGAAAAGCCCGCUCGCCGGAAGACCAAGGGUUCCUGUCCAACGUUAAUCGGGGCAGGGUGAGUCGACCCCUAAGGCGAGGCCGAAAGGCGUAGUCGAUGGGAAACAGGUUAAUAUUCCUGUACUUGGUGUUACUGCGAAGGGGGGACGGAGAAGGCUAUGUUGGCCGGGCGACGGUUGUCCCGGUUUAAGCGUGUAGGCUGGUUUUCCAGGCAAAUCCGGAAAAUCAAGGCUGAGGCGUGAUGACGAGGCACUACGGUGCUGAAGCAACAAAUGCCCUGCUUCCAGGAAAAGCCUCUAAGCAUCAGGUAACAUCAAAUCGUACCCCAAACCGACACAGGUGGUCAGGUAGAGAAUACCAAGGCGCUUGAGAGAACUCGGGUGAAGGAACUAGGCAAAAUGGUGCCGUAACUUCGGGAGAAGGCACGCUGAUAUGUAGGUGAAGUCCCUCGCGGUGGAGCUGAAAUCAGUCGAAGAUACCAGCUGGCUGCAACUGUUUAUUAAAAACACAGCACUGUGCAAACACGAAAGUGGACGUAUACGGUGUGACGCCUGCCCGGUGCCGGAAGGUUAAUUGAUGGGGUUAGCGCAAGCGAAGCUCUUGAUCGAAGCCCCGGUAAACGGCGGCCGUAACUAUAACGGUCCUAAGGUAGCGAAAUUCCUUGUCGGGUAAGUUCCGACCUGCACGAAUGGCGUAAUGAUGGCCAGGCUGUCUCCACCCGAGACUCAGUGAAAUUGAACUCGCUGUGAAGAUGCAGUGUACCCGCGGCAAGACGGAAAGACCCCGUGAACCUUUACUAUAGCUUGACACUGAACAUUGAGCCUUGAUGUGUAGGAUAGGUGGGAGGCUUUGAAGUGUGGACGCCAGUCUGCAUGGAGCCGACCUUGAAAUACCACCCUUUAAUGUUUGAUGUUCUAACGUGGACCCGUAAUCCGGGUUGCGGACAGUGUCUGGUGGGUAGUUUGACUGGGGCGGUCUCCUCCUAAAGAGUAACGGAGGAGCACGAAGGUUGGCUAAUCCUGGUCGGACAUCAGGAGGUUAGUGCAAUGGCAUAAGCCAGCUUGACUGCGAGCGUGACGGCGCGAGCAGGUGCGAAAGCAGGUCAUAGUGAUCCGGUGGUUCUGAAUGGAAGGGCCAUCGCUCAACGGAUAAAAGGUACUCCGGGGAUAACAGGCUGAUACCGCCCAAGAGUUCAUAUCGACGGCGGUGUUUGGCACCUCGAUGUCGGCUCAUCACAUCCUGGGGCUGAAGUAGGUCCCAAGGGUAUGGCUGUUCGCCAUUUAAAGUGGUACGCGAGCUGGGUUUAGAACGUCGUGAGACAGUUCGGUCCCUAUCUGCCGUGGGCGCUGGAGAACUGAGGGGGGCUGCUCCUAGUACGAGAGGACCGGAGUGGACGCAUCACUGGUGUUCGGGUUGUCAUGCCAAUGGCACUGCCCGGUAGCUAAAUGCGGAAGAGAUAAGUGCUGAAAGCAUCUAAGCACGAAACUUGCCCCGAGAUGAGUUCUCCCUGACUCCUUGAGAGUCCUGAAGGAACGUUGAAGACGACGACGUUGAUAGGCCGGGUGUGUAAGCGCAGCGAUGCGUUGAGCUAACCGGUACUAAUGAACCGUGAGGCUUAACCUUACAACGCCGAAGCUGUUUUG
rnacentral:rRNA from 1 species